rnacentral:rRNA from 1 species
CGAGCGGACAGAUGGGAGCUUGCUCCCUGAUGUUAGCGGCGGACGGGUGAGUAACACGUGGGUAACCUGCCUGUAAGACUGGGAUAACUCCGGGAAACCGGGGCUAAUACCGGAUGGUUGUUUGAACCGCAUGGUUCAGACAUAAAAGGUGGCUUCGGCUACCACUUACAGAUGGACCCGCGGCGCAUUAGCUAGUUGGUGAGGUAACGGCUCACCAAGGCGACGAUGCGUAGCCGACCUGAGAGGGUGAUCGGCCACACUGGGACUGAGACACGGCCCAGACUCCUACGGGAGGCAGCAGUAGGGAAUCUUCCGCAAUGGACGAAAGUCUGACGGAGCAACGCCGCGUGAGUGAUGAAGGUUUUCGGAUCGUAAAGCUCUGUUGUUAGGGAAGAACAAGUGCCGUUCAAAUAGGGCGGCACCUUGACGGUACCUAACCAGAAAGCCACGGCUAACUACGUGCCAGCAGCCGCGGUAAUACGUAGGUGGCAAGCGUUGUCCGGAAUUAUUGGGCGUAAAGGGCUCGCAGGCGGUUUCUUAAGUCUGAUGUGAAAGCCCCCGGCUCAACCGGGGAGGGUCAUUGGAAACUGGGGAACUUGAGUGCAGAAGAGGAGAGUGGAAUUCCACGUGUAGCGGGUGAAAUGCGUAAAGAUGUGGAGGAACACCAGUGGGCGAAGGCGACUCUCUGGGUCUGUAACUGACGCUGA